GAGGACGAAGAUGAAGAUUGCGUCGUUCUGGUGAUAUAGCUGAUGGCGGCAAUGGAGGAUCACAAUGAACUAAGGCGCUGCGGAAAGGAUGGUGGCGAUGAUGGAUGGUCUAGGCGAGACCGUGGUAGUGCGAUUGGGUUUCUGCAGGUGUGUGUUCGACGUCUGCGAUUUGCAAUGAUGGCACUGGGGAUUUCUCUACGGUGAGUUGAUUUUUGGAUGACGCUUUCUGUUGCUGGGUUUGUUUGCUGCAGGCGCGAGGAUGAUGUGCGAGGAAGAUGAUUGUGGACGUUACCCGGCGACGUCUUGGGCUUUGCUGGAGAAGAUGAAGCUCGCGAAUUUGAUGGCGGCCUUGGGUGGCAUUCUGCGUCCCGGCGGAGGUUUGUUUGAUGUAGUGGUUCGGUGGCAAGGUAGUUGCUGACGGCAUGGUCGCUGACGGCACCGGUUAAGAUGGUGCGGAAUGGCGACAGGAUUUUCUUGGUAGAGGGGAUGAACGCUUUGGUGGUGGCGGCUGUGCGGCAGGGUGACGACGGCCAUGGGUGGCUAGGGUUUGGAUUUGGGAAUUAGGGUUUCUGUUGGAGAUGGUGAUGACGUGGCAAGAGGGGCUAGGUGGCAUGUUCUGAGUGGUCUAUUUGGUGUGCAGUAGGAUCAGUGAUGUGGCAUUAUCUGGGUGGUUGGAUCUAUUAGUGGUGGACUGCCACGUGGCUAAAUCUGAUGUAAUCUGGUUUAAUUAGUGGUAGGAAGGGUGUGUGUAGGAAAUUAGGGGUUACAGGAUAUAAAAGGCUUAGCGUUUUGGGCUUGGUUGUUGGCCUGGUUUAGAAGAGAGGGGUGCAUGUAGAGAAUUUUGGGGGUGCAAGGGUAAAAUCUGAUUGUUGGGCCUAUCUGGACAUUAUUUUUCAAAUAAAACCUGAUUUUGGGCCUUAAAUUGCAAUUUGGACCAAUAAAACUCUAACUUCAACUGCACAAAUAAAUAUUAGAACAUCCAAGAAUAAUUUAUGCAAUUAAAAUCACUUUUUAAGCCUCUUUAAUUCCAAAACCCAACAAUUCAACUCCACACACAUUCACUUUAAAUCAC
rnacentral:lncRNA from 1 species